UAUCCUACGGGGGGCAGCAGUGGGGGAUAUUGGACAAUGGGGGAAACCCUGAUCCAGCGACGCCGCGUGAGUGAAGAAGUAUUUCGGUAUGUAAAGCUCUGUCAGCAGGGAAGAAAGAAAUGACGGUACCUGACCAAGAAGCCCCGGCUAACUACGUGCCAGCAGCCGCGGUAAUACGUAGGGGGCAAGCGUUAUCCGGAAUUACUGGGUGUAAAGGGAGCGUAGACGGUGAUGCAAGUCUGGAGUGAAAGGCGGGGGCCCAACCCCGGGAGUGCAUUUGAAACUGCCAUGCUGGAGUGCCGGAG
rnacentral:rRNA from 1 species